GCGGGCGGGCGGGCUGCGGGUGGGGGCGGGCCCGCCGCGGGGUCGCCGGGAGACGGGGGCGCCGCCAUGGAGCCGCCCGCCGCGGGCCGGGGCCUGGCCGGGAGGGGGCGGCGGGGGGGGCCGGGGGCUGUGCGGGGCCUGGCCGGGGCGGAGGUGCGGGCGGGGCGGCGGGAGCCGUGCGCGCUCAGCCUGGCGCAGCGGGGCGGCCGCUACGGGUGAGUGCGGCGGGACCGGGCCCGGCCCCGCGGGGAGCACCGGGGCAGCCCCGCCGACAGCGCCCGUGGGGGCCGGGACGGGCCGGGAGAGCGUGGGACGGGGCGGGGGGCGGCCCUCCGGGAGGGGGCUGGGGCUGGGGCUGGGGCUGGGGCUGGGGCUGGGGCUGGAGCUGCUCCCGCGGGGCCGAGCUCCUUCCCCUUCCCUCUCCCGUUCCCUCUGCCGUUCCCUCUCGCCUUCCCGGUGGUGCCCGCCCGUGCACCGGGAGGGAGCCGCUUCUGCGCUCUCAGCAGGCCGCUCUCUGUCUCCAGGAUCGUUAUCCACUCGCAGGAGAGGGAAAACGCCGACCCGGAUUACAUCCCCAUCAACAGCCGCUUUAAGUGCGUGCAAGAGGCAGAAGAAACCCUGCUGAUUGAUAUAGCUACAAACACAGGCUGCAAGAUCCGGAUACAAGGGGACAAGACAGCUGA
rnacentral:lncRNA from 1 species